GAAAUCAUGAAGUGCAGCCCUUUGAUUGUGUUACCUCUUCUGGUUUGGCUCUGGCAACUAUGUGGGGAAAGAAUUUGUAUGUGAAACGUGGCCCUGAGAGUUUUCCCGUCUCCACGAGACAGGAUGAUGGUUUCAGUGCAGGGGUUGGCAAGGACACGUUGGGCAUGAGGAAAAUGAGCUGUACACAGAGCCUGGCUGAACAGUUCUUUCCCUGUCUCUGGCUUGGAGUGCGACACAGCAGAUUGGGGGAAGCUUCAGAAAGCUGGUAAAGAACACCAGGGAAUGCUUUCAUUGCCUGCUACAUUGAUAUUUAACUUAGAAAUACCCAACAAACGAGGAAAAGCAGCCAGGUCUAGGAAACAAAGACAGUGACUAAGGGCAUUUACCGUCUCUCUCCACAUUCAAAGAGUGGCCUCAAGAAUCUGACAGAGGAGAAAGAGGAUCUGGCAAGAAAGGAUAUUUCAACAGGCAUCCCAAGAGGGCUCUGAGAAUCACUAGCUAACGGAUGACUCAGAAUUGAUGGUAUGUUGCAGAGAAGAUGAAAGGAUCCAGGACGAGUUAAGUUCUCUCCCCUUAAAGUUUAACAUUAUAUUAUUCAUGGAUUGUAGAGUUUUAAAACUCAAACAAUACUCUAUUGUGUCUUUAAAGAUGUGAAAAUAUCUUGGAGUGAGGAGAGAGAAAAUAGGAUUUUAAGCAAAUU